GGAAGCAACUUCCCAUUUACACGUAUACGCGAUUACAUUUAGAAGGAACUUCCGGCGUCUUCAUGCAUAUAUAUGCAAAAUAUCAUAUGACAUUUGACCUUACUUCCGGCGUCUUCAUGCGUAUAUACAUAUAGGUCGGGUCGAUAUGGGGGUUGACGCAUGCGCCGACAUUCAUGCGUCGAGACGUUCCCUCAGUACUUUCGACAGCGACGAUAUCAACGAAAAGCUUGGUAGAGGGUAAGCAACGAACGGACAACGUGAUUGCGUGGAAAGAAAAUGUUCGAGCUUUAUGGUGUCGGUAAGGAUGGCAUGGUUUAUCGGUCCCCGCCCCCGAGAAGAAAAGAAGUCGACAUCCUGGAGACUUGCCUACAACUCUCUUCACCAGAACUCAUGAGAAAAUUGCCCAACGGCGAUGCACUUCACCACAUCAAGGACACGGGUGUUUCGACUUCCUUUAACAAGGCUAAAGAACCGCUAAGAGAGAGCAGACGAAGUGCUGUAAGAAGAUGGGUGGUAAUGACUGGAUUCUUCUUCCUCGGAUGUGCCUUAGUGGCUGGAGUAGGUCUGCCUCUCGCUUUGGAACUUCGAAGCUCUCACUUGUUGGAAGCCAGAUUGCAGGUGGUCCGAAGAAUGCUCUCAGAAAUUCCUCUGAUUGAUGGGCAUAACGACUUUGCCUGGAAUCUGCGCAAGCACAGCGGCAGUACGAAGUUGGGUAAUUUCCCCUUUGACGAGGAUUUGUCACGCAAUGCCAGUUGGGGUCCGCAGUGGCAAACCGAUCUGAUUCGUCUGGAACAGGGAAUCGUUGGCGCUCAAUUCUGGUCGGCCUAUGUGCCAUGUGAGGCGCAAUUCCUCGACGCCGUGCAACUCACCCUGGAACAGAUCGACAUCGUGCGCAGACUCACGUCGCGUUACCCCAAACGGAUCAGGCUGGUGACGACGAGCGGUGAGCUGGAGAACGCGCACCGAGACGGAGUAAUCGCCAGCCUAGUAGGGAUAGAGGGUGGUCACAGCAUCGGCACUUCCAUGGCGGUGCUGAGGAGCUUUCAUCGGCUAGGCGCGCGCUACAUGACCCUGACUCAUAAGUGCAACACGCCAUGGGCGGACUCAUGUUCCGUUGAUGAUCCAAACUCGGACGCACCCUCUGAUUUUCACAACGAUGGCCUCUCGCCAUUCGGCAAAGCAGUUGUUCGAGAGCUGAAUCGACUCGGGAUGCUCGUGGACCUCUCUCACGUCUCGGUGAGAACGAUGAGGGAUGCUCUUGCGGUGACAAAGGCACCAGUAAUAUUCUCGCAUAGUGCUGCCAAAGCACUCUGCAAUUCCUCGAGCAACGUUCCGGACGACAUACUACGAAAUUUGUCUCUCAACGGUGGUCUGGUUAUGGUCAGUUUCGACAGCGCACAUUUGAGCUGUGGUGAUAAGGCCUCUAUGUAUGAUAUCAUAGCUCACAUCAAUCACAUAAGACGAAUAGCUGGCGUGAAUCACGUGGGUCUUGGCGCUGGUUACGAUGGAAUAUUGAGACCACCAACAGAAUUGCCGGACGUUUCCGGUUACCCCUUGCUGUUGGCCGAGCUGACUAGAGAUCGUAGAUGGUCCGCGACGGAUAUAAAGAAACUGGUGGGCGGAAAUUUGUUGCGCGUUCUUAAAGAAGUGGAGAAUCAUGCGGCGACUCUUUCGCACCAGUUUCCGGCUGAGGAAUGGAUUUCUCAGGAACUCAUCGAGGACAGCGCCUAUUGCAGAUAUCACGACGCGUAAGAGGCGUCCACGACUAUUUUCGACGUACGACGUUGUUACUUCAAUUCUACGAGUCGUUCUCUCGCUAAAAAAUUGCUGUACUGAAGCGAAUGUGAUUAACAAUUUUGCUGACAGAAGGAUAAUUCUCUUAAUAUGAAGAAAUCUGUUUGUUUUAAUUCAAGCAAAAUACGCAGCACGUUAAGCAGGAAUAAAUUAAAACAAGACUUCGUAAGUGUCCCCAAUCUUUUUCGUGGUUUCCUUUUGGGUUGGAUCCACGGGCGCGAAGGAACGAGCUGUACAUCGCGGAGAUGAGGAUGCGCGUGGCCAGGCCGACGCGCGCGCGAGGUCGAGGGGGAGCGCACGGUCGGGUCAAAGAGGCCAAGAUAAAUUGCAAUCUAAUCCGCGAGAGUCAGCCCGGGGCCAAUUACGAUUCGUUGUGCGUCCGCAGGAAGAGAGGAGUGGCGCCCGUGCCCGGAGGAGCGAGCGCGACGUACACCUCCUCCCUGCGAGGCCUUGCGGCAAAUGCCGGCGGACCGUGAAACUCUCGUCUCUUUAAAACGCGCCGCCGAGAAAACGCGAAGAUCUACGACGUCGACCGAUCGGGAUCGGCGGCGACGAUGUGCGCCGUCCUCGGGCGCCCGCUGUCAACGCACACGUCAAAAACGAUUUUGACAAAUUCGAAUAUUCGAAUUUGGAUAAUGUAUAAGAAUUAUCGAGAUUGAUGGGGGUUGUCUUCAGAUAUUUAAGAUCAUUUAAAAAGGAAUCAUCAUAAAGUAAAAUGAAUACGUAUU